GGGAGCUUGCUCCCUGAUGUUAGCGGCGGACGGGUGAGUAACACGUGGGUAACCUGCCUGUAAGACUGGGAUAACUCCGGGAAACCGGGGCUAAUACCGGAUGGUUGUUUGAACCGCAUGGUUCAGACAUAAAAGGUGGCUUCGGCUACCACUUACAGAUGGACCCGCGGCGCAUUAGCUAGUUGGUGAGGUAACGGCUCACCAAGGCGACGAUGCGUAGCCGACCUGAGAGGGUGAUCGGCCACACUGGGACUGAGACACGGCCCAGACUCCUACGGGAGGCAGCAGUAGGGAAUCUUCCGCAAUGGACGAAAGUCUGACGGAGCAACGCCGCGUGAGUGAUGAAGGUUUUCGGAUCGUAAAGCUCUGUUGUUAGGGAAGAACAAGUGCCGUUCAAAUAGGGCGGCACCUUGACGGUACCUAACCAGAAAGCCACGGCUAACUACGUGCCAGCAGCCGCGGUAAUACGUAGGUGGCAAGCGUUGUCCGGAAUUAUUGGGCGUAAAGGGCUCGCAGGCGGUUUCUUAAGUCUGAUGUGAAAGCCCCCGGCUCAACCGGGGAGGGUCAUUGGAAACUGGGGAACUUGAGUGCAGAAGAGGAGAGUGGAAUUCCACGUGUAGCGGUGAAAUGCGUAGAGAUGUGGAGGAACACCAGUGGCGAAGGCGACUCUCUGGUCUGUAACUGACGCUGAGGAGCGAAAGCGUGGGGAGCGAACAGGAUUAGAUACCCUGGUAGUCCACGCCGUAAACGAUGAGUGCUAAGUGUUAGGGGGUUUCCGCCCCUUAGUGCUGCAGCUAACGCAUUAAGCACUCCGCCUGGGGAGUACGGUCGCAAGACUGAAACUCAAAGGAAUUGACGGGGGCCCGCACAAGCGGUGGAGCAUGUGGUUUAAUUCGAAGCAACGCGAAGAACCUUACCAGGUCUUGACAUCCUCUGACAAUCCUAGAGAUAGGACGUCCCCUUCGGGGGCAGAGUGACAGGUGGUGCAUGGUUGUCGUCAGCUCGUGUCGUGAGAUGUUGGGUUAAAGUCCCGCAACGAGCGCAACCCUUGAUCUUAGUUGCCAGCAUUCAGUUGGGCACUCUAAGGUGACUGCCGGUGACAAACCGGAGGAAGGUGGGGAUGACGUCAAAUCAUCAUGCCCCUUAUGACCUGGGCUAC
rnacentral:rRNA from 1 species